AGGCUUUGAAGCGUGGACGCCAGUCUGCGUGGAGCCGACCUUGAAAUACCACCCUUUAAUGUUUGAUGUUCUAACGUGGACCCGUAAUCCGGGUUGCGGACAGUGUCUGGUGGGUAGUUUGACUGGGGCGGUCUCCUCCUAAAGAGUAACGGAGGAGCACGAAGGUUGGCUAAUCCUGGUCGGACAUCAGGAGGUUAGUGCAAUGGCAUAAGCCAGCUUGACUGCGAGCGUGACGGCGCGAGCAGGUGCGAAAGCAGGUCAUAGUGAUCCGGUGGUUCUGAAUGGAAGGGCCAUCGCUCAACGGAUAAAAGGUACUCCGGGGAUAACAGGCUGAUACCGCCCAAGAGUUCAUAUCGACGGCGGUGUUUGGCACCUCGAUGUCGGCUCAUCACAUCCUGGGGCUGAAGUAGGUCCCAAGGGUAUGGCUGUUCGCCAUUUAAAGUGGUACGCGAGCUGGGUUUAGAACGUCGUGAGACAGUUCGGUCCCUAUCUGCCGUGGGCGCUGGAGAACUGAGGGGGGCUGCUCCUAGUACGAGAGGACCGGAGUGGACGCAUCACUGGUGUUCGGGUUGUCAUGCCAAUGGCACUGCCCGGUAGCUAAAUGCGGAAGAGAUAAGUGCUGAAAGCAUCUAAGCACGAAACUUGCCCCGA
rnacentral:rRNA from 2 species